rfam:Danio rerio chromosome 8, GRCz11 reference primary assembly.
GUUGCAGGUAUGGAGACAUGGUGCCAAACACCAUCGCUGGAAAGAUCUUUGGCUCUAUCUGCUCUCUCAGCGGUGUGCUGGUUAUUGCUCUUCCUGUUCCCGUCAUCGUGUCCAAC